AGGGAGUCCACAAGCCACGAGCCCGCCAUGGAAAAUGCAGCGUGCGGAACUUCAACUCCCGCGAGGCUUUGCGGCGGCCGCGCAGUGAGGGACGGGCAGGCCCCGCCCUGCUGGGAGGCCGCUGGGCCUGCGGAGAGCGCUGCUGGCAGCGGUGGUAGAGACCUGCUGUUUGUGAAAGUUGUUUUGUGAAACGCAGAAUGUUUACAAAAUACACACUUGUGUUUACAAACGUGUCGGCUAAAUGACUGUGAAAAGCAGAAACAAGAGCGGCUGCCCUAGUAAAGCCGGCAAGUCUUCUCCAUUUCGAGCAGACGGCUGAUGCGCUGGGAAAAGGCGUGUGAGCUACGGAGAGCAGCUGUUGCUUACAAGGAGGCGUCUCCCUUUCUGUUUCUCGGCUUUCCUUGUUUCUUUAAGCCACGCGUCUCCCAGCUCCCUGUUGUAUCCAUUACCCUUGUGUGCAGUAAAAGCGACCAAAUAUUACACGCUGCUACCCUGACUGGCCUUGAAGAGCUAAAAGGAUAAGGAGUGUUGUGACUAAUUACAGGAAAUGUCUCCUGGGCCUCUGAAACUUGGGGAGAACUUGCAACAGGCCAACAGUCACAGGAAUAUUUGGCUGCAAAUCACCUAUAGAAAGCACCACAAAAACCAUGGAAUUUGGAGCCUUGCAGUGCCUGAGAUGAUACAUUCUGAGCAAGAAAUUGUGGCUGUCAGUAGAGGGAGUGCCUGUAACAGUGGAAAAAUAUGCUUGUCAAUUCUUGCUGUGUUUAAAUUAAUAGAGACAUGCAGGGGUCUUUAAAAAAGUACCAGGAAAAAAAAUCUGCAAUAUACUGUGAUUUAAAAGUGAUUUUCUUUCCUAUUUGUUUAUUUUAGUCAGAGCACAAGACAUUUUAAUUGAUAAAAAUUACUUGAUAUCUCUAGCCUCAGGACAUACAGGAUCUUGCAUGUCUGUUCUUAGGAUUAUAUUUAUAUAUAUUAUAUGUAAAUUCUUAUAUUCUUAGGAUUAUAUUUAUAAUUGUGGAUGUACACUUGUUGGUGAUACUUUUAAUACAUUAACUGGUUUUAGUAUAUAAAAGAGGAACAUUUAUUAAUAUUCCACAGGGUUGAAAAGUUGCCAGUCACUCUAAGCUGCUAAAUACCAUCACUUUUCAAAACUGAUGUGAUCAGAACUCUUGCUUAUUGUUCUUUUUUACAGCUUAAAACACUUGCAGUCUUGACUAAGCCAAUGUGUUCUAUCAUUCCUUCAAUACAGGUCAUGUUUCUAAACAUCCCAUUUUCCUUACUAUUCUGUGAAUAAUCUUGCUUUUCUAUUUAUUGAUGAUAAAGUAUUCCAGACAAGUCUAUAAAUACAAAACAAAAUUGAAUAAUUGCAACAUAGUCCCCUAUUUCUGCCAUGCAGGGUGUGUCUUAUUACAUGUAGCUACCUGUGUUUUUCUAUUCUGAAUUUGCAUUCUGAUUCAGAGAUCAGAGACCUCCCUAGCCUGAGGUUAUCUGUAGAUUUACAAAUACACUCUUAGUUUACCCAUCACUGGGCCUCUUCUUGAAAAAUUGAACAGAAGGAGCAGGAGCUGUCUAGAAGAAGCCGGAGUAUGGCAAUGCAAGGCUAGCAGCUCCCUCAGGGCCAGGCACCAGUAGCCACAAGGGAUCGCCCUAGAGCAGCAAACAGGGCCUGGCAGCCCAAUCCAUCCCACCAGCCCAGCCAGGGGCUGGGCAGCUGGUGGCUUUUGGGGCAGCCCAAGGUACUGUCACCUCCUCAGGGAAUUGGGACAGGCUAAGGCUGGGCCAGGAUGGCAGCCUGGGUGUCAGGGCUGGCAUAGGGCAACCCAUGGCCAGUCAGGACAGAGGCAGACCAGCCUCAGUUUGGUGGUGCUGGGGCAGGGACUGAUAGCCCUGCAGGCUGACACAGUCCUGGGUUUUGUGCAGGCUGGAAGAAGGUCUUAGUGGAGACCAGACAGGGGCAGUUAGGACCAUCAGUGCUCUCAGCUCUGACAGGCUGCACCAGGAGGGGACUGCAGGCUGUGAGCCAAGCGUGGCCACAGCACAGAGGGGGACCAUGCCAACAACCCUGCAGCAUCUCAGCAGGACUGGAUCAGUGAUACUGAUAGUCACAGCAAGGCAAGGAAUGAAAAUAGAUCCAGGGUCCAGAUAGGAGGAGCAAGAGACACCUGGAGACAAGACUACAAUGUAGGUCCAAGGUCUGUCAAGGAGAGGACUGGAGAGAAGACAAUAGACAAUACCUUCUACAUAGGUCCCCAGUAAAUACAGGAAAACCAGUCAGCAAGACAGAACUGUGGGAAUCAGGCUGUGAAUGAGUUCAAUGUUUGAAUAGCUCGGGCCUGAGCUGACCCAGAGCCCUGGUGCUACCAAAGAGGGUACAUGGUGCUGGGGUGGGCAGGUUGGCCAGGGCGGAGCCCUGACAGAGGGAAACAACUGAACCGUGGUGGCAGACUUGUUACCAGAAAAUUCCUUAAACAUGCUAAAAACUACAAUGCAAACUUUAUCUUGCUUAGAACAUAACUUUUCUGAGCAAAAACAAGUGUCCAUGGAAACACCACAUGGUUAGCAACAGUCAUUUUUCUCCCCAAACUCCAUUGAUGUUCCUGGCUUAGAAUGUGCAGCCCAAGUCUUGGAGCACAGAAGGAGGUGCAUCCAGACCUGGAGCUCUUCCCAGGCUGAAGGUACAUGUUCUGUCCUGUUUUCUUCAAGGCUAUCAGGCCUUUAAUGACAGGAAUCCCUUGUUUUUCUCAUUUGUGGUUAAAGCCCAGAAAUCAUAAGCAGUUCUUACUUAUUUUAGAAUCUGUUCCAAACAUCUUUGUGUCAGCUUUGCCAUUUUCAGUAUACAAUCUUAUAUAGUUUCCAUUUUUGAUCCCUUAGAAAUAGCUGUGAGGAUGCUUUUCUUUCCAUUAACAUUUUCUGGACUAUCACGGCUGACACAGAGCUGUUGCCAUGCCAAACCUUCUGAUGCCAGUAUCUAUAUGCACACUUCUUUUCCCUAAUAAAUGAAAAGUAAUUCAAAAUACUAUGCUCUCA
rnacentral:lncRNA from 1 species